rnacentral:rRNA from 1 species
CCUACGGGGGGCUGCAGUGGGGAAUAUUGGACAAUGGGGGCAACCCUGAUCCAGCCAUGCCGCGUGUGUGAAGAAGUCCCUCGGGUUGUAAAGCACUUUCAGUGAGGAAGAACGCCUGGUGGUUAAUACCCAUCAGGAAAGACAUCACUCACAGAAGAAGCACCGGCUAACUCCGUGCCAGCAGCCGCGGUAAUACGGAGGGUGCGAGCGUUAAUCGGAAUUACUGGGCGUAAAGCGCGCGUAGGUGGCUUGAUAAGCCGGUUGUGAAAGCCCCGGGCUCAACCUGGGAACGGCAUCCGGAACUGCCAAGCUAGAGUGCAGGAGAGGAAGGUAGAAUUCCCGGUGUAGCGGUGAAAUGCGUAGAGAUCGGGAGGAAUACCAGUGGCGAAGGCGGCCUUCUGGACUGACACUGACACUGAGGUGCGAAAGCGUGGGUAGCAAACAGGAUUAGAUACCCUUGUAGUC